CAGCCGUGUGGAGAGCACAGAGCGAACUAUUCUUUCGCCUUUUACUAAAGAAUACCGUGUGCUCGCCACCUAACAGCGGCAUACGCCAAUUUUUUAAGGGUCUCUCUAUUGAUUGAGACC